UGGGGAAUUUUGGACAAUGGGCGAAAGCCUGAUCCAGCAAUGCCGCGUGUGUGAAGAAGGCCUUCGGGUUGUAAAGCACUUUUGUCCGGAAAGAAAUCCUUGGCUCUAAUACAGUCGGGGGAUGACGGUACCGGAAGAAUAAGCACCGGCUAACUACGUGCCAGCAGCCGCGGUAAUACGUAGGGUGCAAGCGUUAAUCGGAAUUACUGGGCGUAAAGCGUGCGCAGGCGGUUUGCUAAGACCGAUGUGAAAUCCCCGGGCUCAACCUGGGAACUGCAUUGGUGACUGGCAGGCUAGAGUAUGGCAGAGGGGGGUAGAAUUCCACGUGUAGCAGUGAAAUGCGUAGAGAUGUGGAGGAAUACCGAUGGCGAAGGCAGCCCCCUGGGCCAAUACUGACGCUCAUGCACGAAAGCGUGGGGAGCAAACAGGAUUCAGAUACCCUGGUAGUCCACGCCCUAAACGAUGUCAACUAGUUGUUGGGGAUUCAUUUCCUUAGUAACGUAGCUAACGCGUGAAGUUGACCGCCU
rnacentral:rRNA from 1 species